rnacentral:rRNA from 1 species
ACGGGGGGGGCAAGCGUUGUUCGGAAUUACUGGGCGUAAAGGGCUCGUAGGCGGCCCACUAAGUCAGAUGUGAAAUCCCCAGGCUCAACCUGGGAACUGCAUCUGAUACUGGUGGGCUUGAAUUCGGGAGAGGGAUGCAGAAUUCCAGGUGUAGCGGUGAAAUGCGUAGAUAUCUGGAGGAAUACCGGUGGCGAAGGCGGCAUCCUGGACCGACAUUGACGCUGAGGAGCGAAAGCUAGGGGAGCAAACGGGAUUAGAAACCCCCGUAGUCC